AAACCAACAGGGAUUGCCUCAGUAGCGGCGAGUGAAGCGGUAAAAGCUCCAUUUUGAAAGCUCUUCGGAGCGUUGUAGAUUGGUGGGAAGCUAACGGCUGGUGGGAGACCAAGUCCUCUGGAACGAGGCGCCAUAGAGGGUGAGAGCCCCGUGUGUCUCCUUUACCGACCUUUCAGCCCCCUCCGCGGAGUCGAGUUGUUUGGGAAUGCAGCUCUAAGUGGGUGGUAAAUUCCAUCUAAGGCUAAAUAUUGGCGAGAGACCGAUAGCGAACAAGUACAGUGAUGGAAAGAUGAAAAGCACUUUGAAAAGAGAGUGAAACAGUACGUGAAAUUGUUGAAAGGGAAGGGUAUUUGGCCCGACAUGGGUCCUAUGCACCGUUGCCUCUCGUGGGCGGCGCUCUGCUUGGGCCUGGGCCAGCGUCAGUUUGGAGGGGGCGAGAAGGGUUUUGGGGAGUUGCCUAGCAAUUCCCCUUUGCUAGAUUGCCCCACACCGGACUGAGGACCGCCAUCUGUAGGAUGCUGGCACAACGGCCAAAUACCGC
rnacentral:rRNA from 1 species